ACGCUAUAAGUGAUCAAACAAAAUUUGAAGACUAAAAUGACAUUUACAUUCCAAACACACCCCAAUACCAUAUACUAUCAAUAGAGACCAAAGGAAGCAUAAAAGGCCAUUUGGUGCAACAUUGAUGUAAAAUGAAGUCAAAUGUAAGGCUAAUAGCCAGCCUCAACUGUGAACUCUUUCAGAACAGCUCGAAUCCAUGUAUCAAUUUUUUUAUGAAAACAUAAAGCUCAAAUCCAUUCGAAUUUUCAGCACUUGAGGAACCAAGAUGAUGCAUCUUUCCCUGCAAGAUCUAGUUCCAAGUUGAUGCCUCUUUCAACGCUUAAGAAGAGUUGCAGACCCUCUGCCAACACCUAUCAUAUCACAUCAUUAUAAUCAUAAUAAAGGAGGAAAUUGUCAUUUUAUCUCAUCUAAUAAAUCUCACCAAGAAAAGUGGAUACUUUUUAAUAUAUGCAUUACAAAAAAAUAUAGUUUAAUAGUAAUAUGCUUAUGGAAAAUUUACAUAUUUGGUCUCUGUAGUAUAUUGCUGCUUUUUUUUUUUUUUUUUACAGUUUUGGUUCCAAGGACAAGAUGGUCAUUUUAAAAAAUUUAACAACAGAUACUUUUUUGAUUUAAUAGUAAGUUGGAAGAAUGGUCCCUGUGUCAUAUACUCAAAAAAUUAGCACCUAGGUUUUGUUUUCGUCUAAUAAAGCUCAACAAAAAAAUUGGAUACUUUUUAAUAUACGUAUUACAAAAAAUAUAGUUUAAUAGUAAUAUGCUUAUGGAAAAUUUACAUAUUUGGUCUCUGUAAUAUGUUGUUGCUUUUUUUUCUUCAGUUUUGGUUCCAAGGGCAAAAUGGUCAUUUUAAAAAAAUUAGCAGCAUAUACUUUUUUGAUUUAAUAGUAAGUUGCAAGAAUGAUCCAUGUGUCAUAUAGUCAAAAAAUUAGCACCUAGGUUUUGUUUUCGUCAUGUAAAAUGACUUUAUUGCCCACAUUGAUAUUAGAUUAAUUGUGUUAUAUAAGGGUAAAAAAAAGUCAUUUUAACAUAAACAAUAGGUACCUAUUUGAAACAACACUAAACUGGAACUUUGGGUAUAACUAAGGGACAAUUCUUGUAAUUUACUCUUUAGACAAACUUAAUGAUUCAUUUUUGUAAAAAUCACUAUAAGGACCAAAAUUGUGAACCGGUUUUGUUUUGGGACUAAAACUGGAAAUAAAUCCAAACAGAGGGACAAAAUUGUUCUUAAAGAAAACACUCAAAACAGAGCCAUUAUUGGAUUAUAGAACUGUACUUUAUAAAUGUAUUUAAAAUAGCAUCGUAAUUCUCAAAAAGUUUAAUAAGAACAUCUUAAUUUGAAACUUGAAUUGAAUUAUAGAAAAGAUGGUUGCCUUCCUAACUUCCAUGAAACUUAGCAAAGAAGUUUCCUCUAUUUGUAUUUGACUUGAUGGCUGAAAGUAACAAUAGAAAACAACAUUUGUCAAACUAAGUUAAAUAACAAUUAUUAGUGUGCAUGGAGAUGCAAGUUGACUGAGAUAGAGAUUUCUUGAUCAAAAUCGAAGCCGAUACAUCUAAAAUGGAUCAAAAAAUAGACAUAUGAUAUGAAUCUUUCAUAGAAAGUGUGAUACGAACGAAAAUGAAAAUAAAAACAAAAAAUCAUUUAUAAAUUGGGAAGAAAAGAACACAAAGAAAAACUGACGAAAAUAAAAAAGCGUACGCAACAAAUCCAUCUAAAUUACACAUAUUCAAAAUAUUCCAUAAUCAUGAAACACCAUAGAGAAACAAAUCACCAAUUAGAACACUAAUCAAAGAUCACAUUUCCUAUUUUUUCAAGUCCUUAAAAACUAAUAAUUAAAAAAAAAUCUCAAAGAAUCCGAUGAUUAAACAAAUUAUCAAGUUAUAUGAUUUACUUACUCAGGCAUGUUGAGAUGACCCAACAAUGAUUUCACUUUUCGACCAUUUUUCAUAGAUUCCUUGAAUGGAAUAAAAGCCCCAAGCCUACUUAAACAAUCAUUAUCCAUAUCUCUUUUGAAUAAAGAAACCAGGGUCAAAGUAUUGAUUUCUUUGUUUCAAGGAGCACAUGGAUGAAUGCAGGGAGUUGAAUACAAUCAGUAACCCAAUUGC
rnacentral:lncRNA from 1 species